UGAACCUGCGGAGGGAUCAUUACCGAGUUUACAACUCCCAAACCCAUGUGAACAUACCUAUUGUUGCUUCGGCGGGAUUGCCCCGGGCGCCUCGUGUGCCCCGGAUCAGGCGCCCGCCUAGGAAACUCAACUCUUGUUUUAUUUUGGAAUCUUCUGAGUAGUUUUUACAAAUAAAUAAAAACUUUCAACAACGGAUCUCUUGGUUCUGGCAUCGAUGAAGAACGCAGCGAAAUGCGAUAAGUAAUGUGAAUUGCAGAAUUCAGUGAAUCAUCGAAUCUUUGAACGCACAUUGCGCCCGCCAGUAUUCUGGCGGGCAUGCCUGUCUGAGCGUCAUUUCAACCCUCAUGCCCCUAGGGCGUGGUGUUGGGGAUCGGCCAAAGCCCGCGAGGGACGGCCGGCCCCUAAAUCUAGUGGCGGACCCGUCGUGGCCUCCUCUGCGAAGUAGUGAUAUUCCGCAUCGGAGAGCGACGAGCCCCUGCCGUUAAACCCCCAACUUUCCAAGGUUGACCUCAGAUCAGGUAGGAAUACCCGCUGAACUUAAGCAUAUCAAUAAGCGGAGGAA
rnacentral:rRNA from 1 species